GACGGGUAUCCGGCCUGAGAGGGUGAUCGGACACACUGGAACUGAGACACGGUCCAGACUCCUACGGGAGGCAGCAGUAGGGAAUAUUGCUCAAUGGGCGAAAGCCUGAAGCAGCAACGCCGCGUGGAGGAUGAAGGUUUUAGGAUUGUAAACUCCUUUUCUAAGAGAAGAUUAUGACGGUAUCUUAGGAAUAAGCACCGGCUAACUCCGUGCCAGCAGCCGCGGUAAUACGGAGGGUGCAAGCGUUACUCGGAAUCACUGGGCGUAAAGAGCGCGUAGGCGGGGUAGCAAGUCAGAUGUGAAAUCCUAUGGCUUAACUAUAGAACUGCAUUUGAAACUGUUACUCUA
rnacentral:rRNA from 1 species